CUUUGAUAUUAAUUCAAAAUAUGUAGCCCUGUUCAUCUUCGCAGAUUCGGGAUCAUGCCCCGACAAGCACGCUCCUGUACUUGCCGCAGUGGGAUGCCGGCGCCUGGCCCUCGACUGGAUCGGCGUGGGCUGAAUGCCCUCUACCGGGGGAAUCCAUCUUGAGCGAUCCACAGCGCGGACUGGGAGGCUUUGCCUGCCUCGCCUGCAUCUCCUUUGCAUCAAAACACAGCGGGGGACGAGGGGAGGGGGAGACCAGACUAAAUAACGCCGAAGUGCCUUCAGCAAGGGGCAGCAGGGAGGAAAUCGGUGGUGCUCCUCUCAGCUGUGCUGCUUCAGUGAGAGAAGCGGGAGAAAGCUUGUCAGGCUCCUCUCCCCUGCCACCGUAUAGGCCAGGCAUCGGCCCCAGCUUUGCUCUUCGUGUUGCCCACAGACAUGUUGCCAUGCUACCAUGUUAGGAGUUUCACCCCCAUCACAUGCAGCAGACACCAGGCUUCCUUGUGCGAGAGAGAUCUGAAGUGCUGUGCUGGGACCCCCCCUCAAGUUUAAUAACACCCUUGCUGGUUGCUGCUCAACCGGGCUAUGAAAGGCGACAAAGAUGGCGGCAGGAGAGCAGCAUGGAGCUGCCCACCUUGUCCUUCCCUGUCCUGGCCUGCUGCACUUGCAAUUCCUUUGUCCCAGCCCAGGAUGCUAUAAACAGUGAAAGUAGUUGAGGAAAAAGCAGAUGCACCUCAAUAAUGCAAUUACAGAAGUAACGGAAAGAGCCCAGCCUCUCCCUGAAGCACUAGGGAGCAUCAGACUCCUGUGGACAGGUGACAGCAGUGCUGAGACUUUGGUUCUUUACGCUUUAUCCCAGCACUUCCACACGAUUUCAGUGACUUUGCCCUUGAGGUCCCUGGAGAAAACACCUAUCAGGACUUGAAAUGCUGUCAUCACUGUGAUGCCACCAGCAGCUACAGCUCUCCUCUUGCAACAUCCUUGCUUUGCAUUAUGAAAUAAUCCUUUACAGUUUACUUUAUAAAUAACCAGUUUUUGAAAAUGUGUAUAUCACCUGUUUGACAAGCAUGUUUUUCCAUGGUAAUGAAUGCAGGUUUGUGUCCAAACAUCCCAUGUAAACCCCUAUUUAUAACCACAUGAAAAAAAAAAAUCCUUUGGGGCUAAGGCUUCAUAUUUAAGUUCUAACAGGCAGGGUUCUGUUCGAACUGGUGCUCUGUGGCUGUGAUGGACACAGAACAGGGCAACAUAUAUCUGGUUUUCAGCCUAGGAGGAAAUCUUCCCCCUACUUUGCCCCUUCAAAAAUGUUUUCAAGAAAAGAUCAGACACAGUUUUCUAAUGUCUGGAGAAAAACAACACAUGACCCACAAUAGUUUUAGGCAGUUCCAUUUUUGCUUGCUAUUUUUAAAAGCAUAUAUGUUAUUUAAAAAUAAUUAGCUUGAGCUAAUUUAUGUGCAAUGUAUAUCUUGCACAUAUGUCUAGAGGAAACCAGAAACGGGGCUGUAUAAUCGUAACCUUACUGCACUGAAGGCCUGGCAUAAUUACCAUUGAGAGACAGAAAGCCAAAGAGAUUUUAUCUGUCAUAUAUAUUUCCCUCAUGUAAAUAUAUUAAACCAAAAC
rnacentral:lncRNA from 1 species